rnacentral:rRNA from 1 species
ACUCCUACGGGGCGCAGCAGUGAGGAAUAUUGGUCAAUGGGCGCGAGCCUGAACCAGCCAAGUCGCGUGAGGGAGGACGGCCCUACGGGUUGUAAACCUCUUUUGCCGGGGAGCAACGGGCGUCACGUGUGGCGCCACUGAGAGUACCCGGAGAAAAAGCAUCGGCUAACUCCGUGCCAGCAGCCGCGGUAAUACGGAGGAUGCGAGCGUUACCCGGAUUUAUUGGGUUUAAAGGGUGCGUAGGCGGAUCGUUAAGUCAGUGUUCAAAUUGAGGGGCGUAACCCCUUCCCGCCCUUGA